rnacentral:rRNA from 1 species
UACAAUGGCAGGUACAGAGGGAUGCUACCGGGCGACCGGAUGCGGAUCUCGAAAGCCUGUCCCAGUUCGGACUGGAGUCUGCAACCCGGCUCCACGAAGUUGGAUUCGCUAGUAAUCGCGCAUCAGCCAUGGCGCGGUGAAUACGUUCCCGGGCCUUGUACACACCGCCCGUCAAGCCAUGGGAGCCGGGGGCGCCUGAAGUCCGGGACCGCGAGGACCGGCCUAGGGCGAAACUGGUAACUGGGGCUAAGUCGUAACAAGGUAGC